AGAGUUUGAUCCUGGCUCAGAACGUACGCUGGCGGCACGCCUAAUACAUGCAAGUCGAACGAAGUAGCAAUACUUAGUGGCAGACGGGUGAGUAACAUGUAGGUAUCUACCCUUUGGUCUGGAAUAACACGAGGAAACUUGUGCUAAUACCGGAUAAGUCUUUACGGAGAAAGCUUUAUGCACCAUUGGAUGAGCCUGCACUUGAUUAGUUUGUUGGUGGGGUAAUGGCCUACCAAGACAAUGAUCAAUAGCUGAUUUGAGAGGAUGAUCAGCCACAUUGGGACUGAGACACGGCCCAAACUCCUACGGGAGGCAGCAGUAGGGAAUCUUGCACAAUGGAGGAAACUCUGAUGCAGCGAUGCCGCGUGAGUGAAGAAGGCCUUUGGGUUGUAAAGCUCUUUCGUCGGGGAAGAAAAUGACUGUACCCGAAUAAGAAGGUCCGGCUAACUUCGUGCCAGCAGCCGCGGUAAUACGAAGGGACCUAGCGUAGUUCGGAAUUACUGGGCUUAAAGAGUUCGUAGGUGGUUAAAAAAGUUGGUGGUGAAAUCCCAGAGCUUAACUCUGGAACUGCCAUCAAAACUUUUUAGCUAGAGUAUGGUAGAGGAAAGCAGAAUUUCUAGUGUAGAGGUGAAAUUCGUAGAUAUUAGAAAGAAUACCAAUUGCGAAGGCAGCUUUCUGGAUCAUUACUGACACUGAGGAACGAAAGCAUGGGUAGCGAAGAGGAUUAGAUACCCUCGUAGUCCAUGCCGUAAACGAUGUGUGUUAGACGUUGGAAAUUUAUUUUCAGUGUCGCAGCGAAAGCGAUAAACACACCGCCUGGGGAGUACGACCGCAAGGUUAAAACUCAAAUGAAUUGACGGGGACCCGCACAAGUAGUGGAGCAUGUGGUUUAAUUCGAAGAUACGCGCAGAACCUUACCAACACUUGACAUGUUCGUCGCGACUCUAAGAGAUUAGAGUUUUCGGUUCGGCCGGACGAAACACAGGUGCUGCAUGGCUGUCGUCAGCUCGUGUCGUGAGAUGUUGGGUUAAGUCCCGCAACGAGCGCAACCCUCACUUUUAGUUGCCAUCAUUUAGUUGGGCACUCUGAAAGAACUGCCAGUGAUAAGCUGGAGGAAGGUGGGGAUGACGUCAAGUCCUCAUGGCCCUUAUGUGUUGGGCUACACACGUGCUACAAUGGUAUCUACAACAGGAAGCAAGAUGGCAACAUUAAGCAAAUCCCAAAAAGAUACCUCAGUUCGGAUUGCACUCUGCAACUCGAGUGCAUGAAGCUGGAAUUACUAGUAAUCGUGGAUCAGCGUGCCACGGUGAAUACGUUCCCGGGUCUUGUACACACCGCCCGUCACACCAUGGGAGUUGGUUCUACCUUAAGGCAAAGUUUAAAACCUUUGACCACGGUAUAGUCAGCGACUGGGGUGAAGUCGUAACAAGGUAACC
rnacentral:rRNA from 1 species